UGGGGAAUUUUGGACAAUGGGGGCAACCCUGAUCCAGCCAUUCCGCGUGAGUGAAGAAGGCCUUCGGGUUGUAAAGCUCUUUCAGCUGGAACGAAACGGUACGCUCUAACAUAGCGUGCUAAUGACGGUACCAGCAGAAGAAGCACCGGCUAACUACGUGCCAGCAGCCGCGGUAAUACGUAGGGUGCGAGCGUUAAUCGGAAUUACUGGGCGUAAAGCGUGCGCAGGCGGAUUGUUAAGCAAGACGUGAAAUCCCCGGGCUUAACCUGGGAAUGGCGUUUUGAACUGGCAGUCUAGAGUGUGUCAGAGGGGGGUAGAAUUCCACGUGUAGCAGUGAAAUGCGUAGAGAUGUGGAGGAAUACCAAUGGCGAAGGCAGCCCCCUGGGAUAACACUGACGCUCAUGUACGAAAGCGUGGGUAGCAAACUAGGAUUAGAUACCCUGGUAGUCCACGCCCUAAACG
rnacentral:rRNA from 1 species